UACGUAGGGUGCAAGCGUUGUCCGGAAUUAUUGGGCGUAAAGAGCUUGUAGGCGGUUUGUCGCGUCUGCUGUGAAAAUCCGGGGCUCAACCCCGGACUUGCAGUGGGUACGGGCAGACUAGAGUGUGGUAGGGGAGACUGGAAUUCCUGGUGUAGCGGUGAAAUGCGCAGAUAUCAGGAGGAACACCAAUGGCGAAGGCAGCUCGCUGGAACGGUACUGACGCUGAGGCGCGAAAGCGUGGGGAGCGAACAGG
rnacentral:rRNA from 1 species